AUUGAACGCUGGCGGAAUGCUUUACUCAUGCAAGUCGAACGGCAGCACGGACUUCGGUCUGGUGGCGAGUGGCGAACGGGUGAGUAAUGUAUCGGAACGUGCCCAGUCGUGGGGGAUAACGUAGUGAAAAUUACGCUAAUACCGCAUACGAUCUAUGGAUGAAAGCGGGGGAUCGCAAGACCUCGCCCGAUUGGAGCGGCCGAUAUCAGAUUAGGUAGUUGGUGGGGUAAAGGCCCACCAAGCCAACGAUCUGUAGCUGGUCUGAGAGGACGACCAGCCACACUGGAACUGAGACACGGUCCAGACUCCUACGGGAGGCAGCAGUGGGGAAUUUUGGACAAUGGGCGAAAGCCUGAUCCAGCCAUUCCGCGUGCAGGAUGAAGGCCCUCGGGUUGUAAACUGCUUUUGUACAGAACGAAAAGGUUUCUACUAAUACUAGGAGCUCAUGACGGUACUGUAAGAAUAAGCACCGGCUAACUACGUGCCAGCAGCCGCAGUAA
rnacentral:rRNA from 1 species